rnacentral:rRNA from 1 species
AGUUGGUGGAGUGAUUUGUCUGCUUAAUUGCGUUAACGAACGAGACCUCGACCUACUAAAUAGUUGACUUUAUUUCUUUGGAGAUAAGAGUCUAACUUCUUAGAGGGACUAUCGGUUCUUAGCCGAUGGAAGUUCGAGGCAAUAACAGG